GUCCAGCAUUAGGGGUGCCAAUUGAUAAGUUGGCUGAGAGGAUCACCCAACCCUUUGAACCUGAUCUCAUUAGUCUGAGCGGAGGAAAAUGUGUCAAUUGUUAU
rnacentral:ncRNA from 2 species